CCUACGGGAGGCAGCAGUGGGGAAUAUUGGACAAUGGGGGGAACCCUGAUCCAGCCAUGCCGCGUGUGUGAAGAAGGCCCUCGGGUUGUAAAGCACUUUCAGUGAGGAAGAACGCCUGGUGGUUAAUACCCAUCAGGAAAGACAUCACUCACAGAAGAAGCACCGGCUAACUCCGUGCCAGCAGCCGCGGUAAUACGGAGGGUGCGAGCGUUAAUCGGAAUUACUGGGCGUAAAGCGCGCGUAGGUGGCUUGAUAAGCCGGUUGUGAAAGCCCCGGGCUCAACCUGGGAACGGCAUCCGGAACUGUCAAGCUAGAGUGCAGAAGAGGAAGGUAGAAUUCCCGGUGUAGCGGUGAAAUGCGUAGAGAUCGGGAGGAAUACCAGUGGCGAAGGCGGCCUUCUGGACUGAAACUGACACUGAGGUGCGAAAGCGUGGGUAGCAAACAGGAUUAGAUACCCUUGUAGUC
rnacentral:rRNA from 1 species